CUACCGAUAACUCUGGAAUAGCCUUUCGAAAGAAAGAUUAAUACCGGAUAGUAUACGAAUAUCGCAUGAUAUUUUUAUUAAAGAAUUUCGGUUAUCGAUGGGGAUGCGUUCCAUUAGUUUGUUGGCGGGGUAACGGCCCACCAAGACUACGAUGGAUAGGGGUUCUGAGAGGAAGGUCCCCCACAUUGGAACUGAGACACGGUCCAAACUCCUACGGGAGGCAGCAGUGAGGAAUAUUGGUCAAUGGGCGCAGGCCUGAACCAGCCAAGUAGCGUGAAGGAUGACUGCCCUAUGGGUUGUAAACUUCUUUUAUAUGGGAAUAAAGUUUUCCACGUGUGGAAUUUUGUAUGUACCAUAUGAAUAAGGAUCGGCUAACUCCGUGCCAGCAGCCGCGGUAAUACGGAGGAUCCGAGCGUUAUCCGGAUUUAUUGGGUUUAAAGGGAGCGUAGGUGGAUUGUUAAGUCAGUUGUGAAAGUUUGCGGCUCAACCGUAAAAUUGCAGUUGAAACUGGCAGUCUUGAGUACAGUAGAGGUGGGCGGAAUUCGUGGUGUAGCGGUGAAAUGCUUAGAUAUCACGAAGAACUCCGAU
rnacentral:rRNA from 1 species